rnacentral:rRNA from 1 species
CAGCCGCCGCGGUAAUACGUAGGUGGCAAGCGUUGUCCGGAAUUAUUGGGCGUAAAGGGCUCGCAGGCGGUUUCUUAAGUCUGAUGUGAAAGCCCCCGGCUCAACCGGGGAGGGUCAUUGGAAACUGGGAAACUUGAGUGCAGAAGAGGAGAGUGGAAUUCCACGUGUAGCGGUGAAAUGCGUAGAGAUGUGGAGGAACACCAGUGGCGAAGGUGACUCUCUGGUCUGUAACUGACGCUGAGGAGCGAAAGCGUGGGGAGCGAACAGGAUUAGAUACCCCAGUAGUCCCUGUCUCUUAUAA